UACGUAGGGGGCGAGCGUUGUCCGGAAUCAUUGGGCGUAAAGAGCGUGUAGGCGGCCAGACAAGUCUGCUGUGAAAACUCGAGGCUCAACCUCGAGCUGUCGGUGGAAACUGUCUGGCUAGAGUCCGGAAGAGGAGAGUGGAAUUCCUGGUGUAGCGGUGAAAUGCGCAGAUAUCAGGAAGAACACCUAUGGCGAAGGCAGCUCUCUGGGACGGUACUGACGCUGAGACGCGAAAGCGUGGGGAGCGAACAGG
rnacentral:rRNA from 1 species